rnacentral:rRNA from 1 species
GAUGAACGCUGGCGGCGUGCCUAAUACAUGCAAGUCGAGCGAACAGAUGAGGAGCUUGCUCCUCUGACGUUAGCGGCGGACGGGUGAGUAACACGUGGAUAACCUACCUAUAAGACUGGGAUAACUUCGGGAAGCCGGAGCUAAUACCGGAUAAUAUAUUGAACCGCAUGGUUCAAUAGUGAAAGACGGUUUUGCUGUCACUUAUAGAUUGAUCCGCGCCGCAUUAGCUAGUUGGUAAGGUAACGGCUUACCAAGGCAACGAUGCGUAGCCGACCUGAGAGGGUGAUCGGCCACACUGGAACUGAGACACGGUCCAGACUCCUACGGGAGGCAGCAGUAGGGAAUCUUCCGCAAUGGGCGAAAGCUUGACGGAGCAACGCCGCGUGAGUGAUGAAGGUCUUCGGAUCGUAAAGCUCUGUUAUUAGGGAAGAACAAAUAUGUAAGUAACUAUGCACGUCUUGACGGUACCUAAUCAGAAAGCCACGGCUAACUACGUG